GGAGAGUGGAGCAGCUGUGGCACAGUGUGGGACCUCACCCUGCACAGGUAAGGCACAGGCAACACUUCCACAGACAGUCCACCCAAGAGCUGACCUGCUGAAACACGGACUCGAGAGCUCGGUCAGAUGGUGGUCAAAGUGCAAAGAUUUCAAAGCAACAAUAAGAGUGGCUCAGCAGAGGACGGGCUGGUGGCGCUUGGAACAGCCUUGGCUGGGGCACGGCUGGGAGAGUUACCAUGGGAACAGGAGAAGGGAGUUAAACGGCCUUUGGAAUGCACAGACUCCACUUCCUACAGAGUGAAUCCUGCUGCAAAACUGGAAAAUGGUUGGUUUUUUUUUUUCCCCUUAAAAAACAAAAAGUGCAAAAAUAGUUGAAAAUUUUCAGAUGAAAGCACACAGUGCCUUUUCAGGAGUCACUCAAAUGUCCCUUUCCGUGCUGCCAAUUUUACAGCCUUCAGAAGGAGGCAAUUACUGUCUCGCAAACUCACCUUGCAGAGCUUCACAUCCACACAGAAAUGAGAGUAUAAAUAGAAUUCCAUAGU